CUCGCGACGGCGCCGAGUUCCUUCUCCAAGCGAUUUCUGCUCGGGCGAAAGAGGCGGCGGAGCUAAGUUUCCUUUCUCCGGCGCCGGCCAAGGGGUGUUCCCGCGAGAUCCUCACACGUUCGUGGCCAUCUCGUCGAGGGGACCACGCGGACGCGAGGAAACGCCGGAUUUGGAGCUCACCCGAAACCCUAGCACCUCUCUUUCUCGGUUGUAAGUCCAAGAAUCGUCGAUAAAGGAAAGGAAAAGAUUUAGCAAGGAAGGCGACAAGGUGGUGGUGAUGAA